rnacentral:rRNA from 1 species
UCAGGCCUAACACAUGCAAGUCGAACGGUAACGCGGGGCAACCUGGCGACGAGUGGCGAACGGGUGAGUAACGCAUCGGAACGUGCCCAGUAGUGGGGGAUAGCCCGGCGAAAGCCGGAUUAAUACCGCAUACGACCUACGGGUGAAAGCGGGGGAUCGCAAGACCUCGCGCUAUUGGAGCGGCCGAUGUCAGAUUAGGUAGUUGGUGGGGUAAAGGCCCACCAAGCCGACGAUCUGUAGCUGGUCUGAGAGGACGACCAGCCACACUGGGACUGAGACACGGCCCAGACUCCUACGGGAGGCAGCAGUGGGGAAUUUUGGACAAUGGGCGCAAGCCUGAUCCAAAAGUGCCGCGUGCGGGAUGAAGGCCUUCGGGUUUCAUUUAGGGGGUCAGGGAAGAAACGUUCUGGGCUAAUACCCCGG